GCUGGCGGCGUGCCUAACACAUGCAAGUCGAACGAGAAAGUGGAGCAAUCCAUGAGUAAAGUGGCGACCGGGUGAGUAACACGUGACUAACCUGCCUUCGAGUGGGGGAUAACCUCGGGAAACCGGGGCUAAUACCGCAUAAUGCCGAGAGGUUAAAGGAGCAAUUCGCUUGAAGAGGGGGUCGCGGCUGAUUAGCUAGUUGGCGGGGUAACGGCCCACCAAGGCGAUGAUCGGUAGCCGGCCUGAGAGGGCGCACGGCCACACUGGAACUGAAACACGGUCCAGACUCCUACGGGAGGCAGCAGUGGGGAAUUUUGCGCAAUGGGGGAAACCCUGACGCAGCAACGCCGCGUGGAGGAUGAAGUCCUUUGGGACGUAAACUCCUUUCGACCGGGACGAUGAUGACGGUACCGGUGGAAGAAGCCCCGGCUAACUUCGUGCCAGCAGCCGCGGUAAUACGAGGGGGGCAAGCGUUGUUCGGAAUUAUUGGGCGUAAAGGGCGCGUANGCGGUGCGGUAAGUCACCUGUGAGACCUCUGGGCUUAACUCAGAGCCUGCAGGCGAAACUGCCGUGCUGGA
rnacentral:rRNA from 1 species